GCAUUUCUCUGGGUCGCUCCCGGGCUAAGCGUCGGCAAGUUCUGUAGAGAAACUCGGGCAACCUUUGUGUCUCCAGAACGCUAUAGCUAUGGCACCUCCAGCUCUUCAAAGAGGACAGAGGGUAGCUGCCGUCGCCGUCGGCAGUCAAGCAGUUCUGCAAAUUCUCAGCAGGGUCAGUGGGAGACAGGCUCCCCCCCAACCAAGCGGCAGCGGCGGAGUCGGGGCCGGCCCAGUGGUGGUGCCAGACGGCGGCGGAGAGGGGCCCCAGCCGCACCCCAGCAGCAGUCAGAGCCCGCCAGACCUUCCUCUGAAGGCAAAGUGACCUGUGAUGGGGAAACAGGCUCAGAGAGGUAAGGUCACAUGCCCAAGGCCCCACAGCUUAGAGAGUGGCAGAGCUGGGACUCACCUCAAGGUCUGUUGGACUCCGCCACCUGGCCCUGCCUCUGUGGCCAACCACUCCUGGGUGGCCUGGAAGAGGUGCUGCUCCUCCCAGCCCCCUGCUCUCCCACCCACAUUGAUUGAGGUCAUGGCCAGUUGCUUACUGGA
rnacentral:lncRNA from 10 species